GCUUGUUGUUCACCAGGGUAGCUUCCACCAUAUUUUCUGAUGCUAGAAGAAUUCUCGUGAAGAAUACUCAGGUGGUCCUUUCCUCUACAGUCUCUUUGGCCUAGUCUGGAGGCCAUGAUGCUAGAAGAAUCUUCGUGAGGAAGGUGCAUCGUGUGCUCCUAGCUUUGUCCAGGACACUGCUGAGAAAGGACUGUCGGCCUAGUCUGGAGGCCAUGAUGCAUGUGCACUCAAAUCAAUGUAUAUGCCUUGAAUUUGCUCAACUGUCCACUCGCAGCUUGUUGGCGAGUUAUUUUGCUCACCAUACAGUUGCACAGUGUGGCGGAGAUCAGAUGAUGGAAAAUACUGUUGGAAAAGGUAUGGUUAUAAUGUCUAAGUCUAAUUGGAGAGUCCCACAUGUUUAGUUUGGAAGCACGGUGGGAUGGGUUGAUUUAGACUGGGAUGGUGCCAGCUCUCUGUUUUGCGUGAUCCUGUUUAUCGAGAGGUAGAGAGAGAUGGAACGGCGUGGCUCACAUGUCAGCAAGAGAGAUGGGUUUGCACAUGAUUCUGUUUGGAAAUUAUGAACAGUAAACCCAUCCAAGAAUGCGUAGAACCUUUCCCAUAUACGCUAUUUAAGUUUAAAUUCUCACAUUUUGGUCAAACUGUUCAGUUUAAUUAGUGAAUGGUAUUUUAAGACCACAACAAAUUAUGCAUACAAGAAUCCUCAAACAGGCCAAAUGCACGCAAGGUCAAGGCAAGGGCGACAGCCAAAUUUGGGAACAAAACUUUUUACACACAGUUGCUGCCUACAGCCAACAUUUCAUCAUGAGCCUUUGUACAAGGCAUUGCAGAUGGAAAACGUGAAAGAAGAGCAAUAAUGGUAACAUAUAUGAUUUUGAUUACUACAAGGCAUUGCAGGUUAUAGAACUUCAAGAAGUAGUUUGCUAACUGGACUCUAUGUUCUCAGUACUUGUUUUUCUUUUUCAGUCUUAUGUGUUGCACUCAUAGUUAAAUUCUACAGCUUACAUAUUGCAGCAAUGGUGCUUGCUAGAAAGGAAGAUUAAGGCUCUCGUGGCAAUGCCAGCCCCUGACUUCACUUUGUGCUUAUUCUUAAUCCCACAACAUGUGGUAUGAAAAAUUGCAUCCUGUCCUUUUAUUGAAUAUUAUCAGAUAUGCUAUGUAGGCCUGGGAUAUGCAAUAUUAUCUCGAUUGAUCUGUUCCUCCUCCGCGUUUCCUGACUGGGCGCAGACUGCCGGGCUGGGGUUUAUCAGAUUGGGGGAAUUUGAUUGCCCUGCAGGGUUUGUGAUAUUGAGUUGAGAGGGUUCCGAUCAAAUGGUUUCUAGAUGAAGAGUUUGGAGCAGUGCCCAUCCUCCUUUCUGUCAGAACUUUGAAACUUCUCUCCCUGUUCUUGAUACACAAUGUUACCUCGGGCCUCUGAUUUCCUCUUUUGCUUCAUCUUGUGCAGAGUGCCCACCUGAUUAGAACUGUCCAAAGCUUGCUAAUUCUGGGAUGGCCUUGUUCUCUUAUUGAAUUGUAUCGAUUACUGAAUUAGGUCGUUAGAAGUGUAUCAGAUUAAAAAAUUCUACCUUUAGAUUAUAGCUUAGAUAGGAAAUUCAAGUGCAGAUGUUCAGGACUCCACCUUCAAGUAUUAUUGUCAGAAUUCAGCCUUCUUAGAUGAUCAGUGCAACUGUUGUAUAGGAGGCUGCAUGACAAGCUUGGAGAGGGGUUGACUUUAAGAGCAAUAGGAGAUUUUAGAUUGACAAGAAGAGUUUGAUAAGUCAGCAGCUGGAAAAGCAACAAAACCCCAAAUGAAAGCUAUGAAGGAAUCCAAGACAUCAAACCAAGGAGAAUCAGUUCUUAAGUGGCAGAUGGGAUCAUAACUCUCAUAUGUGUUUAUUUGCAUCCCUCAGCUUGUAAGUUUAUGCAAUCAUGCUCAAAUGCUUCCAUUUCCAUGACGUGAUAAGGUGGUCCCUGAAUUGUUACAUAAAUAUAGAUCAGUCUUGGGCAAAAAUUACGCUGCUUGAUGGACUGUCUUAAGCAUGUGCCUUGCUCACAUUUUCUCUGCUGAAUUGGGUGUGUAAACGAAUCCUGUGAAAAUUCAAAAUGUGAGUUAAACUGGAUCAUGAUUUAUUGUCCGGGCUGUAGAGGAUAAGUGCAUAACAUGUACUAUUGUGUUUGCACUUCUUUGCAAUUAUAAUUGCAUUCAUUACCACAAACAAAGGUCGGCUUGAAGUUUAGUUCCCCUAUUCUUCUUCGCACACUUUCUUUCUUGUUGUAAUAGAUUGCAAUAUUUCAAGUCAAAAUAAGUUCUUGCUUUGCUCAUACUCAAA